AACCCAUGGUGAGGGCACCUUCUCAGUAAGUCCUUGUAUCUCUCCCAUGCAUCGUAGAGGGUUUCUAAAUCCAUCUGCACA
rnacentral:snoRNA from 1 species